rnacentral:rRNA from 1 species
UACGGGGGGGGCAAGCGUUGUUCGGAAUUAUUGGGCGUAAAGGGCUCGUAGGCGGUUUGUCGCGUCGGGAGUGAAAACCCAGGGCUUAACUCUGGGCUUGCUUUCGAUACGGGCAGACUAGAGGUAUGCAGGGGAGAACGGAAUUCCUGGUGUAGCGGUGAAAUGCGCAGAUAUCAGGAGGAACACCGGUGGCGAAGGCGGGUCUCUGGGCCGAUACUGACGCUGAGGAGCGAAAGCGUGGGGAGCGAACAGG